UCUGCCGGAGGCCAUUGCUAUCGGAGUCCGAUUUAGCCCUGCUAGUUGUGCGGGUUUAGACCCGCAGCGGAAAGCUCAGUAACACGUGGCCAAGCUACCCUGUGGACGGGAAUACUCUCGGGAAACUGAGGCUAAUCCCCGAUAACGCUUUGCUCCUGGAAGGGGCAAAGCCGGAAACGCUCCGGCGCCACAGGAUGCGGCUGCGGUCGAUUAGGUAGACGGUGGGGUAACGGCCCACCGUGCCCAUAAUCGGUACGGGUUGUGAGAGCAAGAGCCCGGAGACGGAAUCUGAGACAAGAUUCCGGGCCCUACGGGGCGCAGCAGGCGCGAAACCUUUACACUGUACGAAAGUGCGAUAAGGGGACUCCGAGUGUGAAGGCAUAGAGCCUUCACUUUUGUACACCGUAAGGUGGUGCACGAAUAAGGACUGGGCAAGACCGGUGCCAGCCGCCGCGGUAAUACCGGCAGUCCGAGUGAUGGCCGAUCUUAUUGGGCCUAAAGCGUCCGUAGCUGGCUGAACAAGUCCGUUGGGAAAUCUGUCCGCUUAACGGGCAGGCGUCCAGCGGAAACUGUUCAGCUUGGGACCGGAAGACCUGAGGGGUACGUCUGGGGUAGGAGUGAAAUCCUGUAAUCCUGGACGGACCGCCGGUGGCGAAAGCGCCUCAGGAGAACGGAUCCGACAGUGAGGGACGAAAGCUAGGGUCUCGAACCGGAUUAGAUACCCGGGUAGUCCUAGCUGUAAACGAUGUCCGCUAGGUGGUGGCGCAGGCUACGAGCCUGCGCUGUGCCGUAGGGAAGCCGAGAAGCGGACCGCCUGGGAAGUACGUCUGCAAGGAUGAAACUAAAGGAAUGGCGGGGGAGCACUACAACCGGAGGAGCCUGCGGUUUAU
rnacentral:rRNA from 1 species